rnacentral:rRNA from 1 species
UAGCAUUACUAGUAUUAGAGGCACCGCCUGCCCAGUGACACACGUUUAACGGCCGCGGUACCCUGACCGUGCAAAGGUAGCAUAAUCACUUGUUCUCUAAAUAGGGACUCGCAUGAAUGGCAUCACGAGGGUUUAACUGUCUCUUACUUUCAACCAGUGAAAUUGAUCUGUCCGUGAAGAGACGGGCAUGAAUUAAUAAGACGAGAAGACCCUGCGGASUUCAAAUUUAUUAGUACAACCAAAAACCAUACAGACCUACAGGUCCUUAAACCCUCAUACCUGUACUAAAAAUUUUGGUUGGGGUGACCUCGGAGUACAAUCAAACCUCCGAACAAUCCACGCUAAGACUACACAAGCCAAAGCAAACUAAUUCCUGCAAUUGACCCAACAAUUUGAUCAACGGAACAAGUUACCCCAGGGAUAACAGCGCAAUUCUAUUCUAGAGUCCAUAUCAACAGUAGAGUUUACGACCUCGAUGUUGGAUCAGGACAUCCUAAUGGUGCAGCAGCUAUCAAGGGUUCGUUUGUUCAACG